GUGCCAGCCGCCGCGGUAAUACAGAGGGUGCAAGCGUUAAUCGGAAUUACUGGGCGUAAAGCGCGCGUAGGUGGUUCGUUAAGUUGGAUGUGAAAUCCCCGGGCUCAACCUGGGAACUGCAUUCAAAACUGUCGAGCUAGAGUAUGGUAGAGGGUGGUGGAAUUUCCUGUGUAGCGGUGAAAUGCGUAGAUAUAGGAAGGAACACCAGUGGCGAAGGCGACCACCUGGACUGAUACUGACACUGAGGUGCGAAAGCGUGGGGAGCAAACAGGAUUAGAUACCCGUGUAGUCC
rnacentral:rRNA from 1 species